rnacentral:rRNA from 1 species
UUCCGGUUGAHUCUHCGGAGGCCAUUGCUAUUGGAGUCCGAUUUAGCCAUGCUAGUCGCGCGGGUUUAGACCCGCGGCAUAUAGCUCAGUAACACGUGGCCAAACUACCCUAUGGACAGGGACAACCUCGGGAAACUGAGGCUAAUCCCUGAUACCGCUCUCAGACUGGAGUGUCGAGAGUGAGAAACGCCCCGGCGCCAUAGGAUGUGGCUGCGGCCGAUUAGGUAGAUGGUGGGGUAACGGCCCACCAUGCCAAUAAUCGGUACGGGUCAUGAGAGUGAGAGCCCGGAGACGGUAUCUGAGACAAGAUACCGGGCCCUACGGGGGCACGCAGGCGCGAAACCUUUACACUGCACGACAGSUGMAUAAGGGGACUCCAAGUGCGAGGGCAUAUAGYCCUCGCUUUUCUGUACCGUAGGGAGGUACAGGAACAAGUGCUGGGCAAGACCGGUGCCAGCCGCCGCGGUAAUACCGGCAGCACGAGUGAUGGCCGAUAUUAUUGGGCCUAAAGCGUCCGUAGCCGGCCGAACAAGUCCGUUGGGAAAUCCACGCGCUCAACGCGUGGCCGUCCAGCGGAAACUGUUCGGCUUGGGGCCGGAAGACCUGAGGGGUACGUCCGGGGUAGGAGUGAAAUCCUGUAAUCCUGGACGGACCACCGGUGGCGAAASSGCCUCAGGAAGACGGACCCGACGGUGAGGGACGAAAGCUAGGGUCUCGAACCGGAUUAGAUACCCGGGUAGUCCUAGCUGUUAACAAUGCUCCCUAGGUGUCGCCAGCUACGAGCCUGUGCUGUGCCCUAGGGAAGCCGAGAAKCGAGCCGCCUGGGAAGUACGUCUGCAAGGAUGAAACUUAAAGGAAUUGGCGGUGU